rnacentral:misc_RNA from 1 species
AGGGAUACUCAUACAAAAGAAACAAUAAGGGUUCAUUUGAAAUAAAUCAUUUAUAAGAAAAGAAUUUUUACAAAAUCAUGCAUGAAUUCUAUUUUUUUUUAAAUGAAAAAUUUUUUAAGUUAAAAAGAAUUAAAUUCUUUCAUUCCAAAUAUGAGAAUUGAUUUGUAUCUUCAAUUUUUAGAAACUUGUAAAGUUCUUCUAUUAAGCCCUGAUCGAUGAGGACUAAAAAGAAAUCAAUUGAAUUGAAU